UCCCAGGUUUUUCUAAAAACCACCCUAUUCAUCAUUUCUUAUAGCA
rfam:Sarcophilus harrisii ctg7180001574302, whole genome shotgun sequence.